rnacentral:lncRNA from 1 species
GAAUAUCUCUUGCCAAUUUUCUGCCUGGUGUCAGCCAAAAUGAGCAAUGGAAACAAUCAUGAUGUCACAAAGGCAUGGUCAGCACGAAGUCAGACCCAUCGUGGGUGCAGGUCACAGCUUGCAAGCAAGCAAGCUCCACUAGCAGAACAGAACUGUUGGGUGUGGCUGAGGGGAAUCUAGAACACAGGCAGAGGAGGGAGAGUAUAAAUAUCAACUAACGCUCAGCACCAAAUGCAGAAGUGGUGAACGCUGCUUGGUCUACCAUCCUCUUGCUAUGUGGCAUUGGUCAGAAUUUAGUCAUGUGGACAUACCAAACUGCAAAUGAGGCUGGGAAAUGAAUUGUAGCUACAUGCCCAGGAGGAAGGAGACUUGGCCUGAAUUAUUUCUUGCAGAAGAUCCAAAAACCUUCUGUUGGGGUCUGAAUUGGGACUCCUUUCCUGUAGCAUCUUUCUGGUGACCACUGAAGGGACUAUAGUGCAGAAAACCCCCACCCAAAGGCUAACUUUCGAUGCAGAACCCAUGGAAACAGAAGGGAAACUAAAUGUUAGAAUCUGAUCAUGUGAAGCUUUGGUCACCAAAGAAAUGAAUCAUAAUGCUAAUAAUGAGUUCCUGACUCAACCCUGAGGAUCUACCAAAAUUUUCCUCCUUUGUUCACCAGCUGAUGUUUACUUUUGAGAAAUGUGAGUCACAAAAAGUAAAACAACGUACUCAAGGUCACACCGCUGAGAAGUGUGUUAGGUGAGACAUCUUGAAGCUCUUCCUUCUCAUGCUGGAAAGGCUGUCAGAAAGUUCAAGUCCUCCUCUUGACAUAGUACAUGCCUAUUUGCUCAUUGGGAUAGGCUAACCUUUUCAAGCAAUGUGCGGCACCCCUUAGCUUCAAUAAAGUGUUCAAUGUAAGAAGAAUAUGCUCUGUAUCCAUAAUAAAAUCACCACAAAUCAAAAAAAUGACCAAGUUGC